rnacentral:rRNA from 1 species
GAUGAACGCUGGCGGCGUGCCUAAUACAUGCAAGUCGAGCGAACAGACGAGGAGCUUGCUCCUCUGACGUUAGCGGCGGACGGGUGAGUAACACGUGGAUAACCUACCUAUAAGACUGGGAUAACUUCGGGAAACCGGAGCUAAUACCGGAUAAUAUAUUGAACCGCAUGGUUCAAUAGUGAAAUACGGUUUUGCUGUCACUUAUAGAUGGAUCCGCGCCGCAUUAGCUAGUUGGUAAGGUAACGGCUUACCAAGGCAACGAUGCGUAGCCGACCUGAGAGGGUGAUCGGCCACACUGGAACUGAGACACGGUCCAGACUCCUACGGGAGGCAGCAGUAGGGAAUCUUCCGCAAUGGGCGAAAGCCUGACGGAGCAACGCCGCGUGAGUGAUGAAGGUCUUCGGAUCGUAAAACUCUGUUAUUAGGGAAGAACAAAUGUGUAAGUAACUAUGCACGUAUUGACGGUACCUAAUCAGAAAGCCACGGCUAACUACGUG